GUACCAGAUAAUCAUUUUCAGCUUCUAUAUUGCUAUUGGAGCUCCGCUAUUAGGUGUUACCUAAUUUUUAUAUUAAAGUUAAUUACUUACCCAAAUUGUUUUCGGAGUUCACAUUGUUAUCUUCGACAACUUGGACGGUCUCUCUUGCUUCUCUUUGGAGAUGAGAAAUUUGAGUUCGAUAAUUUGCAGCCUUCCCAUUACAYGAAGAACAAAUACAAUGUACAUGAACACCUUUUUUAGCAGAGCAAUGACAUAAGGAAGAACGAGUGGUGUUGUUUCUUUUUUGACAUACACAGGGAUAGGAGCCAGCCCAAUGAAUGUCGCACGAGACCACCCCGACUGAGUCCAGACCGUAGCUGAAAAGCCAGCAAAAUGCAAGGCGGGAAAAUAAGCCAAUCAGAAUUAACCUCAUGUAAAAUCAGCCAAUAAGAAGCAAUGGUAAAUUGACUAGUCAAUCAUAUAGUUGUCAUCAGAGUUAGUAGAGGAGACUAGUCUCCUGUUGUCAUCUGGUGAGAUAUGUAAUAGAAUGCUUCGAGCACUUGCUACAUUCCUCUUCGUCUUUCCUGUAUUACGUUGGAUGGACGUUGAAGAUUUGAGAAGUCAUCAUGUCGCAAAAAAAUACUACGUGCGGACAUAAAUUUCGUGCUUCUUUACAAUACACAGAUGAUUCAAUKUCAUCAGGACAUCAGAUGAUGAUGAAACGUAUGAUGAAUACGAAGAGAGGGGUCAGAGGUCGCCUGCAUCCUCAUUUGAUGCAAAUAUAAUUCCCCUUCGCCAGAACRGUCCACCAGUCAUCGUUCAACAACUGUAGUCUGCCAUAAAAAGACCAACUCUAAUCCCGAUACCGUUGGGGAAGAGGUAACACUGGUGAAGUCCAAAAACCCUUCAGAGUGGACUAUUAAUGAAGUCAAAGAUUGGGUGAAAGAAAUCUUUCAUGAUUCCCCAGCUAUUUCAGAAAACUUUGUAAGAGAAGAAGUAGAUGGAAGAACACUACUAGGCCUAAAAGAGCAAGAAUUCAACAUUCUUGGUGUGAAUACCAUUGGCAAAAAGUCCAACUUUGCCUCAAAAAUAAUGGAGUUGAAAGGGGAUGAUACAUCACUGCCAGUUAAAAAAAGAAAAUUAUUCCAUAAAGAAAACUUAAACGGAAUGUUGACUAUGGAUCAUACUUUAACAAAGAGUUGUCUGCAAUGUCUGCACAAGCAAUUGUUCUGAAAUGGUUAAAUUAGAAACUAUAACCGAUUUAAAGCUGGAGUCUCUCAGGAAAGAAGCUAGGAUGCUAGGGCUCCAUCUUUUAAGAAACAAAGAUAAGAUAACACAUAUCGAUGCUAUUGCUGCCACUCUCUUAAAGAAAAACAAGGUUUCUAUUUCAGACACCUCAUUGUUUAAGGUUGCAAUAAGCGAUGUUAAAAUACUUUAGGCUACAAAAUGUGUAUUUUAUUUGUUUGAUAUGUAAAAGCUGAAGAAUAGCAUUAUUGUAUUGUUAAUAUUAACACCAAUAAUAUUCAUGUAUUUGAAGAUUAUUAAAGUAAAUGCAAUGAUAUUAAUAUUGUUUUUCAUCAUAAGUGUUACAAUACCUAAUGAUUGAAAAUCUGAAAAUCCAAAUAAGGAAUUUCUAAAUACCCAUGAUUGGAAAGUGAACAUCCAAGGAAUUUCUAAAUACCCAUGGUUGGAAACUGAAAAUCCAAAUAAGGAAUUUCUAAAUACCCAUGGUUGGAAACUGAAAAUCCAAAUAAGGAAUUUCUAAAUACCCAUGACUGGAAACUGAACAUCCAAAUAAGGAAUUUUUAAAUACCCAUGACUGGAAACUGAAUAUCCAAAUAAGGAAUUUUUAAAUACCCAUGAUUGGAAACUGAACAUCCAAAUAAGGAAUUUUUAAAUACCCAUGAUUGGAAACUGAACAUCCAAAAUUGGAAUUCUAAAUACCAAGUACGGAAAAAAAGAAACCCAAAUUUGGAUUGUAAAGAUAACCAAAUAUGGAAAACACUUAUCCAAUAAAGGAUUUUCCUUAAACACCAGUUUUGGAUUUCAUUUUUUACAGGGAUUUUUUCUAGAUUCCAAACCUGGAAUUUCCAAAAUAGCACAUUGGUUUUUUUUAGAAAUCCAGGUUUGGAAAAAUUGCAUUUUAUCCAAAUUUGGAACUCAUUUAAAAUCCAAUGAAAAUCCAAGACAAAACCAAGGAAAAUCUUGUUUGGUUUUUUGUUAUUUUUUCCAGUGAAACCGGCUGCAUGCAUUGUAAAGUGAAACUUUUUUUCAUUUCAUUGUUAUUGACCGUAAAAAUAGUCAUUUUCACACACAAGACAUCAUUUUAUUUUGCCUUUUUACUCUAUUUAAUAAUUGCAUUUGUGCAAAAAAAUGGCCUGUCAAAUUUCUUUUACAUUUUACAGUCUGUGGAAUAAUAGCCUGCAGGUGCACUUUUGCUACUUACAUUAACUGCGUGACUUGUAAGGCAUUCAGAUUCUAGUAUUUCUAAAACAUUCCAAUACAUGUACAGGUAACUGCAUGCUUUUCUGUACAAACUACAAAAAAUGUCAGUUUCUUGAUCACAGUAUUCAUUAGCUAAAUAUAGUAGCGAGGCGUACGUGCUUAUUGUAGCUGUCUGUAUAUAUAUAAACGGGAAGUAAUAUCCCCAGGCAUUUGUUAUCAAAGGAAGUUUUUAUUUCACAAUUUGAUUCCAGAUGAUUUGCUCUAAAAGGUCUUCUGGCCCAAUUCUUCCUUAAUCAAUAACUUGCAUUAUGGACUUAUUCCUAACAUUUCUUGUAAGCCAUACAGCUAGUAAGGUAUUGAAACUUUGAAUAGUCUUUGUUGUGAUAUAUAUAACUUAAUAUGCAUACAUAAGACUUCAUUUGUAUUAUUUUUUGAUAAAUUCUUCUGAG